CACUCCUGCGGGAGGCAGCAGUGGGGAAUUUUGGACAAUGGGCGAAAGCCUGAUCCGGCAAUGCCGCGUGAGUGAAGAAGGCCUUCGGGUUGUAAAGCUCUUUUGUCAGGGAAGAAACGGUGAAAGCUAAUAUCUUUUGCUAAUGACGGUACCUGAAGAAUAAGCACCGGCUAACUACGUGCCAGCAGCCGCGGUAAUACGUAGGGUGCAAGCGUUAAUCGGAAUUACUGGGCGUAAAGCGUGCGCAGGCGGUUUUGUAAGUCUGAUGUGAAAUCCCCGGGCUCAACCUGGGAAUUGCAUUGGAGACUGCAAGGCUAGAAUCUGGCAGAGGGGGGUAGAAUUCCACGUGUAGCAGUGAAAUGCGUAGAUAUGUGGAGGAACACCGAUGGCGAAGGCAGCCCCCUGGGUCAAGAUUGACGCUCAUGCACGAAAGCGUGGGGAGCAAACAGGAUUAGAUACCCCUGUAGUCCCA
rnacentral:rRNA from 1 species